CACAAAUAUUUGAGGACCGCUAACACAUUUCCUUCUUCUACUUACUCCACAAGGCUUCUUUUCUUCAAACUAAAUAUGCCCAGCUAUUUCAAACAGGGAGGCAGUGUGGAGUAGUGGAAAGAAGGCCAGCUUUGGAGCCAGGCACAU
rfam:Macaca mulatta chromosome 3, whole genome shotgun sequence.